GGGGAUCUGCUAACCUCCGCCUCCAACACACACACACACACAUCCCUGGUGGGGGGCUGGGGGUCAGGACUCCUGGGUUCUAUCCUAGCCCUUGGCCAGCCCCAUGUGGCUGGGCUCCAUUCGAUGGGUGAUGGACCGAGCCCCCUUGGGAAGCAUUGAGUUCCUGAACGGGUAUGUCCCUUCCCCCUCCCUGCAGGUGGUUGCCAUGGAACGAGCCCAAUGAAGCUACCUCCCAGUUGAACCAGGUUCAGGAGUUUGAAAAAUCCAAACUUCCCUGAGCCUGAUGUGCCCCCGCGCCCCCAGCAGUGCCAGUGGGCUGGCCCUGUUUCCCCCCUCCCCCCAGUAGUGCCAGUGGGCUAGGCCUGUUCCCCUCCCCCCUCGAGCAGUGCCAGUGGGCUGGCCUAACUCCCCCACCCCCUGACAAUGCCAGUGGGCUGGCCCUGUUCCCACCCUCCCUGUAGCAGUGUCAUUGGGCUGCUCCAUCAGCUGGGGCACCAUGGCGGGAGGGGACACCCCCGGUGCCCCAGAGACCUGCCAGUGGGGCCGCUCGCAGUGAAAUCAGACUGGCCCUGAGACCCGGCUGGGGGGAUGGGGUGCUCCUGAGCCAACCCUGCCCUCUCCCAGCCCCAGGGGAGCCCCUUGCUAGCCCUGCGGGGUCAGCUCUGGGAUCCCCCUCGGGGCGCGUGAGAGCCAGCACCCCAGAGCGCAGCCAGUCCCUGCCCCGAGAAGCUCACAAGCCAAGAGCCAGGGAGAUUCCUGGAGCCAGAGGCCGGCUGUUCGGAGGUGGGGAGGUUCCUGGAGCCAGAGGCCGGCUGAUGGGAAGUGGGGAGGUCCCUGGAGCCAGAGGCCGGCCGUUGGGGCAUGGGGGGUCCCCUGGAGCCAGAGGUCGGCUGUUGGUGCAUGGGGGGUCCCCUGGUGCCAGAGGCUGGUUGUUGAGGGUGGGGGCCCCCUGGCGACAGAGGAUGGCCAUUGAGGGUGGGGGUCCCCUGGAGCCAGAGGCUGGCUGUUGGGAGGUGGGGAGGUCCCUGGUGCCAGAGGCCGGCUGUUGGUGCAUGGGGGGGUCCCCUGGCGACAGAGGAUGGCCAUUGAGGGUGGGGGUCCCCUCAAGCCAGAGGAUGGCUGUUGGGGGCUGGGGGGUCCCCUCAAGCCAGAGGAUGGCUGUUGGGGGCUGGGGGUAUCCCUGGAGCCAGGGGCCGGCUGUUGGGAGUUGGGGGUACACUGGUGCCAGAGACUAGCUGUUGAGGCGGAGGGUGUCUCUGGAGCCAGAGGCCAUCUGUUGUGGGGUGGGGGUCCCCUGGCGACAGAGGAUGGUUGUUGAGGGUGAGGGUCCCUUGAGCCAGUGGCCGGCUCUUGGGAGGUGGGAGAGCCCCUGGAGCCAGAAGCCAGCUGUGAGGGGAUGGGGGGUCCCCCUGAGCCCAUUGUUCUUUCCCCAACCCUGUGACAUCCUUGCUGUCUGAACCUGCCACAGCCUCCAGGUGGCCCUGACCCCCCAGCCACUGUGCUGCUGAUACGCAGGCCCCACGAGUCCCCCGCAUCUUCUGCCUGGCUGCCAUCUCUCCCUGAGGUUGGGCCAGCCACUGGGGACGUCCUCCUGGCUGCGGUGGCCACCUUCCCUCUGCAGAGACCCAGGAACAGCCAAGGCCUAGUGGCCGUCUGCUGGGCCUGGCUGAGAUGAGCAGGGUCUCUGCCUAGACGGCUGCCGCUCCAGGGGCUCAGGGCUUGGCAGGAGCGACUCCUCCCGGCCUGGCCGCUCGCGGGUCGGAGCUCAGCCCUGCAUGCUGGGCAGAGGCUGUGCCAGGCGGUCAUGGACUGGGGGAUCCGGACAUCACAGCGAACCCCAACUCGUCCAUCAAUGGAAGCAGCGAGGAAUCCAGCUCCCGACCAUGUGCUGGCCGCGGGAGUCCCAGCCACGAGCCACACCUCUCUCACAUAAUGGUGCUAAACCGUGUUGGCCGCGAGGCUGCACACUCCUGUGCUUUAACCAUCUGCGUCUGGCAGAACAAGAACAAGCAGCAGUCCGGGGCCCGGGGCCGGUUCUCAGUGGACUCGAGCGACUUCUCCUGUGUUUCUCCUCCAUGUUCCUUUGGGGUAGCGUGAAAUGUGAAAUGUAACUUGUGCACUUUUUCCACUAGCUGAUACCUGUAGGUGUGGGAGCAGCCAGGCGGUGGUGCUGGCUCCCGGGCCCGGAGGUGUGGGAGCGGCCGGGUGGGGGCGCUGGCUCCCGGGCCUGAAGUGUGGGAGCAGCCGGGCGGGGGCGCUGGCUCCCGAGCCCUGAGGUGUGGGAGUGGCCGGGCGGGGGCGCUGGCUCCUGGGCCCGGAGGCGUGGGAGUGGCCGGGCGGAGGCGCUGGCUCCCGAGCCCUGAGGUGUGGGAAUGGCCGGGCAGGGACGCUGACUCCCAGGCCCGGAGGUGUGGGAGCAGCCGGGCGGGGGUGCUGGCUCCCAGGCCCGGAGGUGUGGGAGUGGCCGGGCGGGGGGCACUGCCUCCCGGGCCCAUGGCAGAGACUUGGCUCUGGGCAGCCCUGGCACCUUCCCUGUUGGAUAGUCUGUAUUGGCCGGUUUUAGAGACAUGCCAUAUGUUUCUGUUUGCUCAUUAAAGAUCGUUCUCACAGUCUGA